UACGGAGGGUGCAAACGUUGCUCGGAAUACUGGCGUAAAGGCGUGACGCAGGCGGUGAUGUAAGACCGAUGUGAAAUCCCCGGGCUUAACCUGGGAACUGCAUUGGUGACUGCAUUGCUGGAGUAUGGCAGAGGGGGGUGGAAUUCCACGUGUAGCAGUGAAAUGCGUAGAGAUGUGGAGGAACACCAAUGGCGAAGGCAGCUCGCUGGGACGGUACUGACGCUGAGACGCGAAAGCGUGGGGAGCAAACAGG
rnacentral:rRNA from 1 species